rnacentral:rRNA from 1 species
ACACAUUCUAGAGCCUAAUUCAUUUUAAUUAAUAAUUAAAAUUACAUUCAAAUCCAAAUUAUAAAUAAUAAUGCUAAAACUUAUCCUAAAAUAAAUUUAUUGUAAUCCAUCUCUACUUAUAUAAGCUGCACCUUGAUCUGAUAUUUAAUAUAGUUUUAUAUUCUAAUUAUAUAUUUCUAAAAAUAAUUAACAACGACGAUAUACAAGCAUAAUAAAAGUUUUAUUAAUCGUGGAUUAUCGAUUACAGGACAGAUUCCCCUGAUUGGAAUAAAAAACCGCCAAAUUUUUUGAUUUUAAAGAACAUAGCUCACAUUUAUCAGGUCUAACUAUUAACAUCUAGAAUAAUGGGGUAUCUAAUCCCAGUUUAAAAUCUAGAUUUCUUAACCUCAUAAUCAAAAAUUUAUGUAAAAAUGAAAUAGGAUUUCACCCAAUAUUCCAAUAAAUAAAAUUUAUUUAUUAUUAACUAAGAUUCAAAAACCGAAAAAAAAUAGUUGUAUUAUUUGUUUAACCGCA